GAUGAACGCUAGCGGCAGGCUUAACACAUGCAAGUCGAACGGCAGCACAGGUAGCAAUACUGGGUGGCGAGUGGCGCACGGGUGCGUAACGCGUAUGCAACCUACCUUUAACUGGGAGAUAGCCCGAAGAAAUUCGGAUUAAUACCCCAUAAUAUAUGUCUUUCGCAUGUUAGACAUAUUAAAGCUUCGGCGGUUAAAGAUGGGCAUGCGUAACAUUAGCUAGUUGGUAAGGUAACGGCUUACCAAGGCUACGAUGUUUAGGGGGCCUGAGAGGGUUAUCCCCCACACUGGAACUGAGACACGGUCCAGACUCCUACGGGAGGCAGCAGUGAGGAAUAUUGGUCAAUGGACGAAAGUCUGAACCAGCCAUGCCGCGUGCAGGAAGACGGCCCUACGGGUUGUAAACUGCUUUUGUAUAGGAAUAAACCCCCGAACGUGUUCGGGGCUGAAGGUACUAUACGAAUAAGCACCGGCUAACUCCGUG
rnacentral:rRNA from 1 species